rnacentral:rRNA from 1 species
CCCUUAGAUGUCCUGGGCCGCACGCGCGCUACACUGACGAAGUCAGCGAGCAUGUCCUACGCCGACAGGUGCGGGGAAUCUUGUCAAACUUCGUCGUGAUGGGGAUUGAUUAUUGAAAUUCUUGAUCAUCAGCGAGGAAUUCCUAGUAAGCGCAAGUCAGCAGCUUGCGUUGAUUACGUCCCUGCCCUUUGUACACACCGCCCGUCGCUACUACCGAUUGAAUGGUUUAGUGAGAUCUUCGGAUUGGCGCCACUGCGGCUCAGCAAUGGGCUCGGUGGAUGCCGAAAAGUUGAUCAAACUUGAUCAUUUAGAGGAAGUAAAAGUCGUAACA